GUGGGUUCCUAAAUCUUCCUUGACACAUUAAUUCUUAUGAAGACUGAGCUGGGAGGGAGCUGCCUAUUAUGGCUAGCUUAGGUCAACACGUCUGGGCUAGUCAUGGUUGCUGAGAGCCAAAAACAACACAGAACUCACCAUCGAGGCCCCGUAGCCCUCAGUUCCGGACAAUCCCCCAAACCAGAGAUUAUGCUGUUGACUAGACUUGACCUGGAGCCGUUACGAAGAAUCAGUAAAACAGGUUUGUGUGUUUGGCUGUGAUUCACGAUUUUUCACAAGUUACUUUUGACGGUGUUUUCAAGUUUAUUCUUGAGUAAUCUGAGCGUGCAAUCUUUGCUAAACAUAUGAGAUGUCAAGAUACUGGUGAGAGAGAUGGGUAGAAUGCUUACAUCAUUUCCAGCCAUGGAAGGUGGAGAACGUACUCCAGGGAUGAAGAAGCACAUGUCAGGGUCCCUCUGAAGGUCUCCCAGAGUGAUUACAAGUCUCCAUCGACAUUCUGUCAUUUUAUUGCAAAGCAGGUUGGCAUAGUUUCAUUGAGUUUUUUCAGCCUUACAUGAGAAAUAACAGGAAGAGUUGCAUUCCCCAGCAAAGAUUAAAGGCACUGGAGAAUUGAUGAUGUCUAUGAAUAUAAAAUGAACCAAGACUGCUCACUCCUGCCUCCACCAAAUGGAACCUGGGAAUUAAUAAGGCAAAUGAUUUGUCAAGAAGUAGACCGUGGGGCUUGGUGAGAUCACAAUGGGAAAGCAGCACGCUGCUGUCUUACCCUGUACCCCCCGCACCUGCCAGCCUCGUUUCCUGUCUGCUCCUUCCCUCUCCCCUAGCUAACUAUCUUCUCUGAAGAAUAACUAAAUCUUCUCAGAUGAAAGUGGCUAAGAAGAAGCUUCUUCAUCUCUGUCCAUUACCCAUUUCUGCACAAAGUACGAGUAGACAUGGAAAGUAUUCACAGGUUCCUCCCUCCUACACACAUACACGCCUGGAUGGAAUCAGUCCCAGAGUAUGAACUGAGCACCGAGCCCCUGACCCACUCCAGUCCCACCACCUGUGCCUUUGCCGUUGGAGCUCCAGUACCCUGCUGGGCAGACUGAGCACUGAUUUACCAGCUCCCUGGGGUCCCCAGGACAGUGAGAGAAGACAAGUUUGGAUUUCUCCACUUUGUGCCAUCUGUUAUUUGGUCUUUCCUCAUCUAAAGCCUUUCCCUUGCAAAUACCAUCCACCUUUCAUGCAUUCCCACUCAGCCAUUUUGGUAAAACUCUUGCCCUGGAUGAACCACUGUCACUUGAGCAGCGAACGCUGCUGGAGACCAUUCACUGGAGAGUGAACGCUGCUGGAGACACAGCUCUAGCUGUGUUUAGUGGCUUCCCUCCAAUUGAUAAAUGUGCACCUACGUUGAUUGCUACCUGGCCUUCCUCCCUUACUCUCCUAGGGGCUUGCUUUGCCACUCUCCUAGGCGGUCAUCGUAACCACCUGAACACAGAGAUGAUCUAUGUCUGUCUUCCUUCCUAACUUCCUUCGUUCUUUCCUUCUUUCCUUCGUUCCGUUGUUACCCAGAAUCAUACUUUAAGGGGGAAAAGAAGAAUCGCUUUAUAUUAGAGUCUUUGCAGAUUUUGAGAAUAUAGUUCCCAAACCAAAUUUCUAAUGAUAACUGAUAUUGCUGGCAUAUAUUAAAAUUUUUGAUUCUGUAAAAUGAAAAAACAGACAUGCCCAUAAUGAAAGAAUCAAUAAAUUUUGUAUAGUUGAUUUUAAAACUAUACUUUAAAAGUUAUUUUAUAUGUGAUUUUUAAUUAUGUGUGCUUGACUAAAUUCAAUAGUAUAAGUAGACAAGUUGGCCAAAAAUAAUCUUUGAGGGUAGUGGUUGUUCUAACUGGGAAAAUGGAAUUACCAUCAUUUAUUUGGCACUGAGUUCUAUGUAGAGUUGCUUUGCAUUCAGGCAUAAACUAGAGGUCUUAAAAUUAGCAUGUUCAGCAUAGAGCUCUUGCUGUUUUUCCCUGCCAAGUUUCUUCCCAAGUCUUCUUAACUGGCCCCUCGGUGGCUGCCCUCCUAUGCUAGAGUCUUUCCAGGGCUAUCCUGUUUGGGUGCAUUUUAGCUCCCAUCAGUCCUGAGGGUGCAGACCUUCAGUGGCAUCCCAUCCUACUCUGAGUAAAAACCUCGUCUUCCUACGACUCUGAAAGCUCUACAGGAUUGGGCUGCUUCUGCCACCCAUCCCAUGAAUUAUAACCCCCCUUCUCUGAUGCUCCUCACAUAUGUCAAGUACACACUUGGCUCUGGGUCUUUGCUUCUGCUGCUUGCUUGUCUGGAAUGCUUUUCAGCUAAGGGUAUUUUUAAAUAACAAUAGCAGCAACAGCAAACUCCUUCCCAGGACUCCCUGUCCCUCUUAUCCUGCUUUAUUUACCCCACAGCCUUUGUCUUCAUCUGACAAUUUGUGUAAUUAUGUGCAUAUUUGAUUAUUGACUUCAUUGGUUACAUUCACUGCU